CUACGGGAGGCAGCAGUGAGGAAUUUUGCGCAAUGGGGGAAACCCUGACGCAGCAACGCCGCGUGGGUGAAGAAGGCCUUCGGGUCGUAAAGCCCUGUCAGGUGGGAAGAAAUGGGUGGAGCUCAACAGGCUGUGCCUUUGACGGUACCACCAGAGGAAGCACCGGCUAACUCCGUGCCAGCAGCCGCGGUAAUACGGAGGGUGCAAGCGUUAUUCGGAAUUACUGGGCGUAAAGGGCGUGCAGGCGGGAUGGCAAGUCUGAUGUGAAAGCCCGGGGCUCAACCCCGGAAGGGCAUUGGAAACUGCCGUUCUUGAGUGCCGGAGAGGAAGGGGGAAUUCCCGGUGUAGAGGUGAAAUUCGUAGAGAUCGGGAGGAAUAUCAGUGGCGAAGGCGCCCUUCUGGACGGUUACUGACGCUGAGACGCGAAAGCGUGGGGAGCAAACAGGAUUAGAUACCCCGGUAGC
rnacentral:rRNA from 1 species